AGUAACUGCGAGUGAAGUGGCAAAAGCUCAAAUUUGAAAUCCGGUACCUUUGGUGCCUGAGUUGUAAUUUGGAGAGACAAAUUUGGUUGAUGGCACCGGCCUAGGUUCCUUUGAACAGGACAACAUAGAGGGUGAGAAUCCCGUGCCUGGCUGGGUUAUUUGCUAUCGCACGCUAAAUUGUCUUCGACGAGUCGAGUUGUUUGGGAAUGCAGCUCAAAAUGGGUGGUAAAUGUCAUCUAAAGCUAAAUAUUGGCGAGAGACCGAUAGCGCACAAGUAGAGUGAUCGAAAGAUGAAAAGCACUUUGAAAAGAGAGUCAAAAAGUACGUGAAAUUGCUGAAAGGGAAGCGCUUGAGAUCAGACUCGAGCUGUGGUGAUCACCCGUGCUUCUGUGCGGUGUCACUUGCCACGGUUUGGGCCAGCAUCGGUUCUGGCGGUCGGAUAAAAGGUGGAGGAAUGUAGCUUCCUCCGGGGAGUGUUUAUAGCCUCCAUCACAAUGCGGCCAGCCGGGACCGAGGACUGCGUGGAAAUUCCGCUAGGAUGCUGGCGUAAUGGUCUUAAGCGACCCGUCUUGAAACACGGACCAAGGAGUCUAACAUCUAUGCGAGUGUUCGGGUGGAAAACCCUUGCGCGAAAUGAAAGUGAACCGAGGUGGGAACCCGCAAGGGUGCACCAUCGACCGAUCCCGAAGUCUUCGGAAGGAUUUGAGUAGGAGCACAGAUGUUGGGACCCGAAAGAUGGUGAACUAUGCUUGAAUAGGGUGAAGCCAGAGGAAACUCUGGUGGAGGCUCGCAGCGGUUCUGACGUGCAAAUCGAUCGUCAAAUUUGGGUA
rnacentral:rRNA from 1 species